ensembl:rRNA 5S_rRNA 5S ribosomal RNA
AUCUAUGGCCAUGCCACCUUGAACGUGCCUGAUCUAGUCCGAUAUCGGAAACUAAGCAGGGUCAGGCCUGGUUAGUACUUGGAUCGGAAACCACCUAGGAAUACCAGGUGCUGUAGGCA